UCAUCGGCCCUUUUGAGGGCCUCCAAAAAUUUAAAGAAAUUGAAU
rfam:Daphnia magna strain Xinb3 scaffold01581, whole genome shotgun sequence.